GUCGCACCACGAGGCGCU
rnacentral:snRNA from 1 species